UCUCAGCAUCAUUGGAACACGCAAGCUCAACUUACCGCUGACGAAUUGCAAUUUUUGGAGGCCUGCCGUCGGGCCCAUAUUGUACUGUAAAAGCAGAUAUAUGCUGGCAGUAUCUGGCCUGAUCUGGGGUAAUAAUCUUGCUGAUGGCCAAUUUGGGGGCUGGGCUCUGAGUUCUCUGGGAAAGGGUGAACUACAACUCCAAGAUCCGAAGUAAAUAUUUCCCACACUGCAUGUGUAUGCACAGUUGGACAUGUUGGGUGUCUGUCCCAGGUUUGGUCUGACGUCAGCCUAAUUCAGUCUUUUCUGGUUGCAAGUGAGCUAUAACUCCCAGAAUGAAGGUCCAUCCCCCCAAACCCCUGCAGUAUAUUCAGAUGGUCAUGGGGUUUCUCUAUGCCAACUGCAGUCCCAGUCCAUUGUCAGCAGGGGUCACAGGAUCAGUGAAGGUACUGCAAAUCCCAUUAUCCGUGGCAAGUUUGGUCCAGAUCCAUCCUUGGUUGGGUUAACAGUACUCUCUGGAUGGAGGUCAAGUGCAACUCUUGUAAACCAUGGUGAAUUCUCCCCAAACCUCUUGCUCAGUUGCUGAUCCAUUCUUCUGUUAACUGUGUGCCCAUAGGAAAAGGUUAAGGGAAAGGCAAUGGGCGGGGUCAGCCAGAGGUUGUCUAUGUAAGUGGACAUGUUCACCACAUACACAUUUUCACUAUUACUAUGUGUGUGUGUAUUGGGAGAUAUGUGAUAACUAUGGGGUUUGCAAUUAAGUUCAUUGUGUCUAGUAAAAGUUCUGCAACUUUGUUUUGGAACUGAAGGCACAACUGAGAAAAGUAAAUGCAGCUCUGAUUGGAGUUGGUCCUAUUUUUAAUAGCUAGCAAUUGGAUUUUGGGAGUUAUAGUUUACCCCUCACAAUGGAUCCCACCAACAAUAGAUCUGGACCAACAACAACAACAACAGAGCUAUAAGGAGAGUUGGGUAAUAAAUACAUCAUCAUCAUCAGUACAUGAAAUCCAGCAUACACACACACACACACACACACAUACAGUAUCUCGUUUGCUGUGUCAUACUCUGUCUUUGUGUCAAUAAUAAUUAUGCAUUUAUUACCCACCUCUCCUUAUGGCUCUAGCAGGGCACAAUACAAUUAAAAUACAUAAUUAUAAUAAAAUACAUUUAGUAAAAAGCAUAUAUUAAUAUGUAUUUAUAUAAAAUAAACAUAUUUAAAAUUUAAAGCCUAUUAUUUGAGAGCACAGAAAUGCUGGACCACUCUUAACCACCACCCUGUCGAACAUUGAAAUCCACCAGCAUGUGGACAAUUUCAACAGAAAGGAUGAAACCAUGAAAAUGAACAAAAUCAGACUACAAGUAUUUAAGAAAAACUCUAAAAUCAGGAUAGUAAAUCAAGAACAACACUCUGAAAACAGGGGAAUUCCAGACAGGAAACAAUCAGGGCCAGCUAACGCCUACAAAACAAAGGAUUUCCCAGGCAGGAAACAGCCAGGCUUUGGAGCUGCAAGGCUAUUCAAUGCUAAUGAAGCUGAUCAAUUCUAACACAUCACACUUGCCUCCAACACACAAGAGUUCUUUCUCCCACCUUGGACAUUAUUCCACAGAGAGAGAGAGAGAGAGAGAGAGAUUCACACACACACACCACUUGCCUCAUUGACAACAGAACCCCUGAAGAUGCCAGACACAGAUGCAGGCAGAAUGUCAGGAGAGAAUGCUACUGGGACAUGGCCAUACAACCCGGAAAACUCACAGAAACCCAGCCUUUAGCUUUCUCUGCCAAAGUGUGCUGCUCCUUCAGUAUACUACAGCUCCCAGGAUUCCAUGACAUUCAGCCAUGGGCAGGGGAAAAAAGUAGGUGCAACCUAUUGUUCUCCCAACUCGUUUCCAUGUAAAAUCAAACCACAGAACUCAGUGGUUCAAAAUAGUUCAAAAUAUAUUCGCUGCAGGAAAGAAGGUGGUUCCAUGUUUCUGGGCGUUUGAGUUAUGUAUGGGACUGGCAAAAACUCCUUGAGCAUCCGUUGCCAAAAAAUAAAAAAAACAUGACAAUUACAGUAGAGUCUCGCUUAUCCAACGUAAACGGGCCGGCAGAACGUUGGAUAAGCGAAUAUGUUGGAUAAUAAGGACAGAUUAAGGGAAAGCCUAUUAAACAUCAAAUUAGGUUAUGAUUUUACAAAUUAAGCACCAAAACAUCAUGUUAUUCAACAAAUCUGACAGAAAAAGUUGUUCAAUACACAGUAAUUCUAUGUAAUAAUUACUGUAUUUACGAAUUUAGCACCAAAAUAUCAUGAUGUAUUAAAAACAUUGACUAGAAAAAUGCGUUGGAUAAUCCAGAACGUUGGAUAAGCGAGUGUUGGAUAAGUGAGACUCUACUGUAGUUGUGUCGCCCAUGAAGGCUUGUACAAUUUUUAACUGAGAAUGAAUCCGGCACCGUUUGGGACCGCCUCGGAAACCUCAGAGCGGGGCGACCGGGUUCCUUUGCAUACAGCCCAUGAGGCACUGCGCGAGGAUUUUCAACUUGAAUUUACAGAGGAAAUUGUAAGGGCCAGAGAAGCAGAUGGGGAAACAGAAGAAGGGCCUGCCUCAGGGGAGCGUCCUUGCUUCAUCCAUGUUGAACAUUUACACCAAUGAUCAGCCACUGCCAGAAGGGACAGAGAGUGUCAUCUAUGCUGACGAUUGUGCCAUCACCACCCAAGCAGGGAGCUCUGAAAUGGUAGAACAGAAGCUCCCUGAAGCUUUAGGUGCUCUUACUGCCUCUUACAGGGAAAACCAGCUGAUUCCUAAUCCAUCUAAAACACAGACGUCUAAAACACACACACCUUAAGAACAGACAAGCAUCUCCAGCUCUGAGUAUCACCUGGGAAGGAAUCCCACUGGAGCACUGCAGCACACCCAAAUACGUGGGAGUUACCCUGGACCACGUUCUGACCUAUAAGAAGCACUGCUUGACUACAAAGCAAAUAAUGGGAGCAAGAAACAGUAUCCUACGAAGGCUGACUGGCACAACAUGGGCAUCACAACCAGAUACAAUGAAGACAUCUUCCCUUGCGCUUUGCUUCUCUGCUGCUGAAUACACCUACCCAGUAUGGAACACAUCUCACCAUGUUACAACAGUGGAUGUGGCUCUUAAUGAGACAUGCCACAUAAUCACAGGAUGCCUACACCCCAAACCACUGGAUAUAUUAUACUGCUUAUCCGGUAUUGCACCACUUGACAUCCGCCGGGAAGUAGCAGGCAGUAAUGAAAGGAACAAGGCAUGGACAUCUCCCGUCUAUCCUCUGUUUGGAUAUUAGCCAGCAUGCCAACGCCUUAAAUCAAGAAAUAACUUCCUAAGAUCUACAGAGAUAAUCGCUGAGAUGCCUCAGCAAGCAAGAGUCCAAAAGUGGCAGGGUAAAACCCAGAACCUCAAGCCAUGGUUGAUACCGGAUGAGAGACUCCCUCCUGGGCACUUGGAAGGUGCUUAAUAGACUACACUCUGGUCCCAUGAGAUGCAGAACCAGCCUCAAGAAAUGGGGCCACUAAAUAGAGUCCACAACAUGCGAGUGUGGAGAAGAGCAAACCACAGACCACCUAUGACAAUGCAGCCUGAGCCCUGCCACAUGCACAGUGGAGGACCUUCUUAUACCAACACCAGAGGCAUUCCAAGUGGCCAGCUACUGGUCAAAGCACAUUUAGUUUAAUGACAAGUUUUUAAAUUUGUUUGUGUUUUUAAAUACAUUACAACUGUGCCCUUGGUUUGCUUCUGACACAAUUAAUCAAUAAAUAAACAAAUAAUAUUAAAGCAAUUUGACACCACUUGAUCUGCCACCGUUCAAUGUUAUGGGAGUUGUAGUUUGACAAGGCCUUUGGCUGCUGCCUCAAUAAACUAGAACUUCUAGGAUUCUAUAACAUUCUGCUGCGUGCAGAUAAAAAGUAAAUGCAACUAAUUUUCCUAACUCUAUUUUUUCCGUGUAAAAUAAUAUCACUGAACUUAGUUUUGUUCAAAAUACAUCAGAUGAAGAAAACUACUUGACAUCCAUUACUAAAAAACCCCCCAAAAAGCAUGACAAUUCAUUGGGUUGCUAUAAAGGCUCCUGCAUUUUUAACAAAGCAUAAUCCUGCACCUUUUGAGACCGCCUCGGAAACCUCAGAGUGCACAGACCGGUUUAAUUUGCAUACAGCCCAUGAGGCACCGCAGGAGGACUUCCGACUCGAUUUGACAGGGACUAUCUUACGGGCCAGAGAAGCAGAUGGGGAAACAGAAGAAGAGCCUGCCUCAGGGGAGCAUACUUGCUCCAUCCAUGUUGAACAUUUACACCAAUGAUCAGCCACUGCCAGAAGACGAUUCCUCUAUGCUGACGAUCGUGCCAUCACCGCCCAAGCAGGGAGCUCUGAAAUGGUUGAACAGAAGCUCUCUGAAGCUUUAGGUGCUCUUACUGCCUAUUACCUCCUGCCAACCUAGCAGUUCGAAAACAUGCCAAUGUGAGUAGAUUAAUAGGUACCGCUCCGGAGUGAAGGUAACGGCGCUCCAUGCAGUCAUGCCGGCCACAUGACCUUGGAGGUGUCUACGGACAACGCUGGCUCUUCGGCCUAGAAAUGGAGAUGAGCAUCCAGUCAGACAUGACUGGAUUUAACGUCAGGGGAAAACCUUUACCUUUACCUUUACUGCCUAUUACAGGGAAAACCAGCUGAUUCCUAAUCCAUCCAAAACACAGACGUGUGCUUUUCACCUUAAGAGCAGACAAGCAAGUUCGGGCUCUGAGGAUCACCUGGGAAGGAAUCCCACUGGAGCACUGCAACACACCCAAAUACGUGGGAGUUACCCUGGACCACGUUCUGACCUAUAAGAAGCACUGCUUGACUGUAAAGCAAAUAAUGGGAGCAAGAAACAAUCUCAUACGAAAGCUGACUGGCACAACCUGGGCAUCACAUCCAGAUACAGUUAAGACAUCUUCCCCUGCUCUUUGCUUCUCUGCUGCUGAAUACACCUGCCCAGUAUGGAACACAUAUCACCACGUUAAAACAGUGGAUGUGGCUCUUAUUAGACAUACCACAUUAUCACAGGAUGCCUACGCCCCACACCACUGGAUAAAUUAUACUGUUUAUCCAGUAUUGCACCACCUGACUUCUGCCGGGAAGUAGCAGGCAGUAAUAAAAGGACCAAGGCAUGGACAUUUCCGGCCCAUCCACUGUUUGGAUAUCAGCCAGCAUGCCAACACCUUAAAUCAAGAAAUAGCUUCCUAAGAUCUACAGAGAUACUUGCAGGAACACCUCAGCAAGCAAGAGUCCAAAAGUGGCAGGCUAAAACACGGAUCCUCAAUCCAUGGCUGAUACCGGAUGAGAGACUCCCUCCUGGGCACACAGAAGACUGGGCGACUUGGAAGGCGCUGAAUAGACUGCACUCUGGCCCCACAGGAAAUGGGGCCGCAAAGUGGAGUCCACGACAUGCGAGUGUGGAGAAGAGCAAACCACAGACCACCUAUGACAAUGCAGCCUGAGCCCUGCCACAUGCACAGUGGAGGACCUUCUUAUAGCAACACCAGAGGCACCCAAAGCGGCCAGCUACUGCUCAAAGCACAUUUAGUAUAAUGCCAAGUUUUUAACUUUUGUUUGUGUUUUUAAAUACAUUACAAUUGUAUCCUCGGUUUGCUUCUGACACCAUCAAUAAAUAAACAAACUAUAUUAAAGCAAUUUGA